AUUGAACGCUGGCGGCAGGCUUAACACAUGCAAGUCGAGCGGGGUGAUGGUGCUUGCACUAUCACUUAGCGGCGGACGGGUGAGUAAUGCUUAGGAAUCUGCCUAUUAGUGGGGGACAACAUCUCGAAAGGGAUGCUAAUACCGCAUACGUCCUACGGGAGAAAGCAGGGGAUCACUUGUGACCUUGCGCUAAUAGAUGAGCCUAAGUCGGAUUAGCUAGUUGGUGGGGUAAAGGCCUACCAAGGCGACGAUCUGUAGCGGGUCUGAGAGGAGGGUCCUCCACACUGGGAAUGAUACACGGCCCAGACUCCUACGGGAGGCAGCAGUGGGGAAUAUUGGACAAUGGGGGGAACCCUGAACCAACCAUGCCGCGUGUGUGAAGAAGGCCUUAUGGUUGUAAAGCACUUUAAGCGAGGAGGAGGCUCUUUUGGUUAAUACCCAAGAUGAGUGGACGUUACUCGCAGAAUAAGCACCGGCUAACUCUGUGCCAGCCGCCGCGGUAA
rnacentral:rRNA from 1 species